UGAGCAACCUGCCCUUGGCUUCGGGAUAACCUUCGGAAACGGGGGCUAAUACCGGAUAUGACCAGUGCCUGCAUGGGUGUUGGUGGAAAGUGUGUCGGCUGGGGAUGGGCUCGCGGCCUAUCAGCUUGUUGGGUGGGGGUGAUGGCCUACCAAGGCGUCGACGGGUAGCCGGCCUGAGAGGGUGAUCGGCCACACUGGGACUGAGACACGGCCCAGACCUCCGUACGGGGAGGCA
rnacentral:rRNA from 1 species